rnacentral:rRNA from 1 species
UGGAUCCAGACUUUGAUCCUGCUCAGGACGAACGCUGGCGGCGUGCCUAAUACAUGCAAGUAGAACGCUGAAGGGAGAAGCUUGCUUCUUCUGGAUGAGUUGCGAACGGGUGAGUAACGCGUAGGUAACCUGCCUGAUAGCGGGGGAUAACUAUUGGAAACGAUAGCUAAUACCGCAUAAGAGGUAAUAACACAUGUUAUUAGUUUAAAAGGGGCAAUUGCCCCACUAUCAGAUGGACCUGCGUUGUAUUAGCUAGUUGGUAAGGUAACGGCUUACCAAGGCGACGAUACAUAGCCGACCUGAGAGGGUGAUCGGCCACACUGGGACUGAGACACGGCCCAGACUCCUACGGGAGGCAGCAGUAGGGAAUCUUCGGCAAUGGGGGCAACCCUGACCGAGCAACGCCGCGUGAGUGAAGAAGGUUUUCGGAUCGUAAAGCUCUGUUGUAAGAGAAGAACGGAUGUGGGAGUGGAAAAUCCAUGUCGUGACGGUAUCUUACCAGAAAGGGACGGCUAACUACGUGCCAGCAGCCGCGGUAAUACGUAGGUCCCGAGCGUUGUCCGGAUUUAUUGGGCGUAAAGCGAGCGCAGGCGGUUUCAUAAGUCUGAAGUUAAAGGCAGUGGCUUAACCAUUGUACGCUUUGGAAACUGUGAGACUUGAGUGCAGAAGGGGAGAGUGGAAUUCCAUGUGUAGCGGUGAAAUGCGUAGAUAUAUGGAGGAACACCGGUGGCGAAAGCGGCUCUCUGGUCUGUAACUGACGCUGAGGCUCGAAAGCGUGGGGAGCAAACAGGAUUAGAUACCCUGGUAGUCCACGCCGUAAACGAUGAGUGCUAGGUGUUGGGUCCUUUCCGGGACUCAGUGCCGCAGCUAACGCAUUAAGCACUCCGCCUGGGGAGUACGACCGCAAGGUUGCAACUCAAAUGAAUUGACGGA